GGGCGCAUGGUCUAGUGGUAUGAUUUCUGUUUUGCAAGGAAAUUUCCAUCCUGCUCUACAGACGGUCCCGCGUUCGAUCCGCGGUGCGUCCA